GUUACUAUUCAUAGGACCGUGCC
rnacentral:siRNA from 1 species